AGAACAGGGCAGUCAAGGUAGCAGCGUAUGUUCCGUUCUCACAUGGCUCGCACAGCGCCUUCGUGUUUGAACCACACUGAGACACCAGACGGUUUCCUGCAGAAGAAAAACUUCAUCAUAUACUACUGAGCAAACUUGGUUGGAGGACGAGGGGUCAAGUGUCCAGUCAUCACAUCCCGGUUCCACCUUGUAUCCCAGAGACAGAGACAGCGGCAAUAACAGAGUCAGAACGAGCCACAUCACUCGGGGCACGCAUUAGGGCACCUCAGCUGCAGAUGUAGGUGGCACAGUCACACCCUGGCACUUCCGAGACUACACCAGCGUGCACAGAACCCUUAAGGAACCUUUUUGGAUGUUUGUUUAUUUCACAAACCUCUGAUGUUGCAGCUCUUGUUACUUCCAUUGAAUAGAGACAUUAACAUUAUAAGCAUUGUUAAAUAUGUUUAACAGAAACAGAGUCUCAAUCUGCAGUUCCUUGAAGCAUAAUUUUUUUCAGCUAAGCUCUAAUUCUGCCUUUAUGAAUGCAGUGUAACCUGUUACUCAUGGCUUUGUAUGAAGUCACUGACAUUCUUUUCUUUGACACUGGUCAAAAAGAAUGUUGUAUGGGUUACUACAACAGAGCUGCAAGGAGUGCCGAGCUGUUUAUUUAUUACAAACAGGGUUUAAAUUUGGAAAUGGCCCGUCAUGACUAAUGAGACGUGUUGAAAAACCAAAGUGAUUGUUGCUGAUGUUCAGAUUUUUUGACUAACCGGGUGC